GUUUAUCUUCGAGUUUUGUGCAAAGCACAAAACAUCAUGUGGUUGUAUGCGGUUUGUUUACAAACCGCUUGAAAAAACUUUUUUCGGAAAUUGAUAUUUCCUGCAAAAAGUUUUUAUAGGA
rfam:Treponema denticola ATCC 35405, complete genome.